AUCAGGGGUAAACCUGUGGAACUCGAACGAUCGAACGGGGAGAUUCAUUCAUCGUCGUUCCGCGCGGGUCCGCGGCGGGGCGUUCGGCGUCGGCGGCCUCGGCCGUCGACGUCGCGCUCCGCCGCCGUCGGGCCCCCGGAGCGCGUGCACUUCUCCCUCAGUAUAACACCGCGACCCGUUCGUCGCGGCGGUCGAACGCGCCGUGCGGUUGUCCCGCCGUCGCCGGUAAAACGGCGACGGCGGAGCCGCGGCGUCGCGGCCGCCGUCGGACGGUAGAGAACGAGGUUCGCGUCCGCCUCGGCGUUCGCGUCGAGGCGUCCGUCGCGCUGCGGCGGCGCCCCCCGCUCGGACCUCGGCGCGCAAGCGUCCGCGGGUUCCGCGCGUCGGCACGGGCGUCGCAUUUCACGCGGCGCGGUCUCGGACGGGACGCGUCCCGGUCUGCGGUGGUUUUGUUUCGGGCACUCACAGGACCC
rnacentral:rRNA from 1 species